rnacentral:rRNA from 1 species
UACGUAGGGGGCUAGCGUUAUCCGGAUUUACUGGGCGUAAAGGGUGCGUAGGUGGUUUUUUAAGUCAGGAGUGAAAGGCUACGGCUCAACCGUAGUAAGCUCUUGAAACUGAGAAACUUGAGUGCAGGAGAGGAAAGUGGAAUUCCUAGUGUAGCGGUGAAAUGCGUAGAUAUUAGGAGGAACACCAGUAGCGAAGGCGGCUUUCUGGACUGUAACUGACACUGAGGCACGAAAGCGUGGGGAGC